GAUGAACGCUGGCGGCGUGCCUAAUACAUGCAAGUCGAGCGAACGGACGAGAAGCUUGCUUCUCUGAUGUUAGCGGCGGACGGGUGAGUAACACGUGGAUAACCUACCUAUAAGACUGGGAUAACUUCGGGAAACCGGAGCUAAUACCGGAUAAUAUUUUGAACCGCAUGGUUCAAAAGUGAAAGACGGUCUUGCUGUCACUUAUAGAUGGAUCCGCGCUGCAUUAGCUAGUUGGUAAGGUAACGGCUUACCAAGGCAACGAUGCAUAGCCGACCUGAGAGGGUGAUCGGCCACACUGGAACUGAGACGCGGUCCAGACUCCUACGGGAGGCAGCAGUAGGGAAUCUUCCGCAAAGGGCGAAAGCCUGACGGAGCAACGCCGCGUGAGUGAUGAAGGUCUUCGGAUCGUAAAACUCUGUUAUUAGGGAGGAACAUAUGUGUAAGUAACUGUGCACAUCUUGACGGUACCUAAUCAGAAAGCCACGGCUAACUACGUG
rnacentral:rRNA from 1 species